rnacentral:lncRNA from 1 species
AUGUGAGAAGACAUUAGAAGUUACUUCAAAAGGGAACUGGUAAUCUGGUAUCCAGGAAUGAAAUUUAGAAACUACAGAAGAAAAAUACACAAUCCUUCUGAUGAACUGAAUUAUGACUCAUGGGGCAGCUUGGAUGAUUUUUGCUUGCUGAAUUUUAUGGCCCGGUAGUACAUGUGGUAGUUCUCAUAUUUGGGGUCAUUGUAAAGUUUCCAUACGACUCAGAUUAGACUGAAUCAUUCCUUUUGAUCAGCUCCAUAAUCAAUAUUGAUUGUCAAAGGUGAAUGUAUCAUGUAAGGAUUCAGAUUUCAUUUAAGAAGAGUUUAUGGAAUGUUUACAGGACAUAACGAUCUGGCAUAGGCUUUGUCACAGAUACAGAGACAAUCAGGUAUGGAUCUUCUUCCCUAGAAACAGAAUCCUGGGAGCUGAAUCAAAACAGGAAUGUAAAUUUCCAUGAAAGGACUAAGGUGAUGAAGAUACAAGAUUAUGAAGUCACGAGAUAAGACAGUUAUCAGUGGGACAGGGUGGAGGGGAUGAAUGAGAGAGCAAUUGCAGAGGGAAUAGAAAUACCAUGGCCGUUGACUGUAAGAAAACUGCCCAAACUGUUGGAUUCACUGAGCACUCCAGGAAUUGCAAAGUUUUCCCGGGUCAUCACCUAGCAACAAAACCCAGCAAAACAUCCGCGAAGCAGUUUUUGCAAUGCAGCCAUCACCGACUAGCAGAAGUGACUUGUGGAAGGCUGAAUUUGCCAUGGAGGGAAUUGAAUGCUUUCUUCUUUAUUCAAGUAGAAUGCUGAGAUGUGCAGUCUGGAUCCUGCUUGGACCAAAUUAAUGUACAUUAAAGAAUAAACCAUAAUGCCCGUUGUGAAUAAAAGGUCGG